CCAAAGGAUUUAUUGAAGGUUAUAAGAAAUCCACUAAAUAUUAUCUAUGAUUUGAUA
rfam:Picea glauca, whole genome shotgun sequence.